GACAGAGGGUGCAAACGUUGUUCGGAAUUACUGGGCGUAAAGCGCGUGUAGGCGGCCAUCUAAGUCGGGCGUGAAAUCCCUCAGCUUAACUGGGGAACUGCGUCUGAUACUGGAUGGCUUGGAUUCGGGAGAGGAAUGCGGAAUUCCAGGUGUAGCGGUGAAAUGCGUAGAUAUCUGGAGGAACACCGGUGGCGAAGGCGGCAUUCUGGACCGACAUUGACGCUGAGGAGCGAAAGCCAGGGGAGCAAACGGG
rnacentral:rRNA from 1 species